rnacentral:rRNA from 1 species
AUGGAACCAGAUGGAAAGACAUGGAAUGAAACCCUCAUCAAGCAAAUUUUCCACACUUUUGAUGCCGAUGAGAUUUGCAAGCUAAAAAUUCCAGAAUCGAAUGUGGGAGACUAUGUCGCUUGGCACUAUGAGAAGAAUGGAGUAUUCUCAGUUAAGAGUGCCUAUAAAUUGGCCGCGGCUAACCAGGACCUAUCAUUGCAAAGCCCCUCGAGUUCUUCCAGGGACCCAGAUGAUAGGAGCAUUUGGGAUCUUAUUUGGAAGGCUAAAGUGCCCGGGAGGGUCAGGAUCUUUGCUUGGAGGGUGGCUACAAAUACUCUAGCUACUAAAAGAAACGAGUGGAAGAGAACUUUGGAAGUGGAUGCGACCUGCAGUAUAUGUGGAAAUGGUGAAGAGGACGAACACCAUGCAGUAAUAACAUGUACCAAGAGUCGAGCCCUACGUGCAGAAAUGAGAAAAAUUUGGGCCUUACCGGCUGAGAACAAACUGAGAUAUACAGGAGCUGAUUGGUUGCAAGUUGCACUCGAUGCGGAAAACGAGGAGGUUCGAACAAAUCUGCUGCUGCUCAUCUGGCGCUGUUGGCAUCAUAGGGAGGAUUGCAUGCGAAACAAUGGAGAGGAAUCC